GACGAACGCUGGCGGCGUGCCUAACACAUGCAAGUCGAGCGAAUGAAGUUCCUUCGGGAAUGGAUUUAGCGGCGGACGGGUGAGUAACACGUGGGCAACCUGCCUCAUAGAGGGGAAUAGCCUUCCGAAAGGGAGAUUAAUACCGCAUAAGAUUGUAGUACCGCAUGAUACAGCAAUUAAAGGAGCAGUCCGCUAUGAGAUGGGCCCGCGGCGCAUUAGCUAGUUGGUGAGGUAACGGCUCACCAAGGCGACGAUGCGUAGCCGACCUGAGAGGGUGAUCGGCCACAUUGGGACUGAGACACGGCCCAGACUCCUACGGGAGGCAGCAGUGGGGAAUAUUGCACAAUGGGGGAAACCCUGAUGCAGCAACGCCGCGUGAGUGAUGACGGCCUUCGGGUUGUAAAGCUCUGUCUUCAGGGACGAUAAUGACGGUACCUGAGGAGGAAGCCACGGCUAACUACGUGCCAGCCGCCGCCGUAA
rnacentral:rRNA from 1 species